AAAGUGCGACGGGGGGAUCCCAAGUGUUAUGCUUUUUUGUAUGACUUUUCAUUAGUGUAAAAAGCUUUUAGAAUAAGAGCUGGGCAAGACCGGUGCCAGCCGCCGCGGUAACACCGGCAGCUCGAGUGGUAGCUGUUUUUAUUGGGCCUAAAGCGUUCGUAGCCGGUUUGAUAAGUCUUUGGUGAAAGCUUGUAGCUUAACUAUAAGAAUUGCUGGAGAUACUAUUAGACUUGAAGUCGGGAGAGGUUAGAGGUACUACCGGGGUAGGGGUGAAAUCCUAUAAUCCUGGGAGGACCACCUGUGGCGAAGGCGUCUAACUGGAACGAUCUUGACGGUGAGUAACGAAAGCCAGGGGCGCGAACCGGAUUAGAUACCCGGGUAGUCCUGGCCGUAAACGAUGCGGACUUGGUGUUGGGAUGGCUUUGAGCCGCUCCGGUGCCGAAGGGAAGCUGUUAAGUCCGCCGCCUGGGAAGUACGGUCGCAAGACUGAAACCUAA
rnacentral:rRNA from 1 species